UACGUAGGUGGCAAGCGUUGUCCGGAAUUAUUGGGCGUAAAGCGCGCGCAGGCGGUCCUUCAAGUCAGAGGUGAAAGCCCAGAGCUCAACUCUGGAAUGGCCUUUGAGACUAGAGGACUUGGGUACGGGAGAGGUGAGUGGAAUUCCGAGUGUAGAGGUGAAAUUCGUAGAUAUUCGGAAGAACACCAGUGGCGAAGGCGGCUCACUGGCCCGUUACCGACGCUCAGGCGCGACAGCGUGGGGGAGCAAACAGG
rnacentral:rRNA from 1 species